rnacentral:rRNA from 1 species
CCUACGGGGGGCAGCAGUGGGGAAUAUUGCGCAAUGGGCGAAAGCCUGACGCAGCGACGCCGCGUGAGGGAUGAAUGUCUUCGGAUCGUAAACCUCUGUCAGCAGGGAAGAACGGUCACUGUGCUAAUCAGCAGUGAAUUGACGGUACCUGCACAGGAAGCACCGGCUAACUCCGUGCCCGCGGCCGCGGUAAUACGGAGGGGGAGCGCGUUAAUCGGAAUUACUGGGCGUAAAGCGCUCGUCGGCGGUAUGUCAAGUCAAGGGUGAAAUCCCAUCGCGCAACAGGGUAACUGCCUUUGAAACAGGCAAACUGGAGUGUGUGAGAGGAGAGUGGAAUUCCAGGUGUAGGAGUGAAAUCCGUAGAGAUCUGGAGGAACAUCAGUGGCGAGGGCGACUAUCUGGCACAUAACUGACGCUGAGGAGCGAAAGCGUGGGUAGCAAACAGGAGUAGAGACCCCUGUAGUC